rnacentral:rRNA from 1 species
UACGAAGGGGGCUAGCGUUGCUCGGAAUCACUGGGCGUAAAGGGUGCGUAGGCGGGUCUUUAAGUAAGGGGUGAAAUCCUGGAGCUCAACUCCAGAACUGCCUUUGAUACUGAAGAUCUUGAGUUCGGGAGAGGUGAGUGGAACUGCGAGUGUAGAGGUGAAAUUCGUAGAUAUUCGCAAGAACACCAGUGGCGAAGGCGGCUUACUGGUCCGGUUCUGACGCUGAGGCGCGAAAGCGUGGGGAGCAAACAGG